rnacentral:tRNA from 1 species
GGGAACCUAACUCAGUGGUAGAGCAUUUGCCUUAUAUCCAUGAGGUCCUGGGUUCAAUCCCCAGCCCU